rnacentral:piRNA from 1 species
UACUUCAACAAAUUCGUACCUCCUAAUAGUU